AGCUCAAUGUGCGACAGGUGUGCGCACUGAUAGCUCAAUGUGCGACAGGUGUGCGGCCCCGGAGUACAAUCAGUGUGACUCUGGCCAGGUGAGGCUGCUUACACCCGCCCUCAUCUAUUGUUGGUACUAUGUGAUCGUCAACAGAGUAAUCUAUGCCCUUUGGUCAGUGUUACUAAAUAAGGCCGUCAUUCUGAGAAAACAGGAGCCGAAUCCUUUUCUCUGCCAACCGCUUUGUGAAUGUUCCACCCGGCCCCAACGGUCGGAGGCCUUCAUGUCCCAUCAAGUCGCCGUAGUCCUGGAUGUGUAAACUGUAACUUGAAACGCCAACUCGGCCGUAUUAACUGGGUCCUUUAUUUAAUUUUGCAUGCUGGGAAGGAUGUAGCCCACCGCGGCGAUGCUACGAUAUCUAACGAACGAUACGGACAGUUUGCUCAGCUUCCUUCAGUUAUCAGCUGAUUGGUCCCCAGUCCCACGGUGCGCUGGUGUGUGUCCGUGGUAACCCUCACCUCAGUGCCCUCUCCUGGAGCCGUGCCGCUGCCCUUCUCUGACUUUGGCGGCUCAGGACGUGGAUCGGUUGUACUCCGUGUACUGGUUUGUGUUUGUUGAGCUUCUGGCGGGGGCGGGUUUCAUGUUUGUUCACUGGUCUGUAAUUCACACACUUCUUCUAGACUCUUCUAUCGAUGGUCUGGCCCGGAGCGGACUCACAGGGCUUCUGACCUCGCUUGUAAAGAAAAUGGAGAAAGAUUUAGGGAGAGAGCGCGCAGGGUGCUAGGGGAAGCAGCUCGCUGUGCAGCUGCUCUGGAUGCCUUUGGAUUACAUCAGAGUGGCUGAGAAAACAAGAGGCAGCGAGAGGGAGAGAGGACCAUGUUCUCUGGGGCUCUGGUGGUGUUGCUGGUGGUCCUCAUCAUGUGCAGGAGGGUCAUAUGGCACGGGAUCUGCCUGCUGAUUGGUCGGAUGUUGUUUAACGAGCCUGUGAGGGAUAAACAAAGAAGUAAUAAAGUUUUGUGAGACCA
ensembl:lncRNA